UUUUGCUUCAAACAUGUGGAAUAGCCAACAAUAAUCCAAAAAUAAACGACCAAACUCGCUUUUAUUACACAAAUUAUCCACAAUAACAUACAAAACAAGAACAAAAACUUGAAAAGUAGAGAAAAGGGACAACAAAGAGAAUUCAGGGAUUCGAACCUAAAAAUACAAGUCCGUACCUUAAACUCAUUUAUCUUAACCAUCAAACCUCGUGGCUACCAAUUCAUACUAUUCG
rnacentral:lncRNA from 1 species